rnacentral:rRNA from 1 species
UCGAGCGGACCGAAGGGAGCUUGCUCCUUUAGGUUAGCGGCGGACGGGUGAGUAACACGUGGGCAACCUGCCCUGCAGACUGGGAUAACUUCGGGAAACCGGAGCUAAUACCGGAUAACACCGAAAACCGCAUGGUUUUCGGUUGAAAGGCGGCUUUAGCUGUCACUGCAGGAUGGGCCCGCGGCGCAUUAGCUAGUUGGUGAGGUAAUGGCUCACCAAGGCGACGAUCCGUAACUGGUCUGAGAGGAUGAUCAGUCACACUGGAACUGAGACACGGUCCAGACUCCUACGGGAGGCAGCAGUGGGGAAUAUUGGACAAUGGGCGAAAGCCUGAUCCAGCCAUGCCGCGUGUGCGAAGAAGGUCUUCGGAUUGUAAAGCACUUUAAGUUGGGAGGAAGGGCAGUAAAUUAAUACUUUGCUGUUUUGACGUUACCGACAGAAUAAGCACCGGCUAACUCUGUGCCAGCAGCCGCGGUAAU